UGGGGAAUAUUGCACAAUGGGCGCAAGCCUGAUGCAGCGACGCCGCGUGAGGGAUGACGGCCUUCGGGUUGUAAACCUCUUUCAGCAGGGAAGAAGCGCAAGUGACGGUACCUGCAGAAGAAGCACCGGCUAACUACGUGCCAGCAGCCGCGGUAAUACGUAGGGUGCGAGCGUUGUCCGGAAUUAUUGGGCGUAAAGAGCUCGUAGGCGGCUUGUCGCGUCGGUUGUGAAAGCCCGGGGCUUAACCCCGGGUCUGCAGUCGAUACGGGCAGGCUAGAGUUCGGUAGGGGAGAUCGGAAUUCCUGGUGUAGCGGUGAAAUGCGCAGAUAUCAGGAGGAACACCGGUGGCGAAGGCGGAUCUCUGGGCCGAUACUGACGCUGAGGAGCGAAAGCGUGGGGAGCGAACAGG
rnacentral:rRNA from 1 species